GUGGCACAUAGUAAUUCCUGGUGAGUUUAACGUGGGAGGUCACUCUUUAUGGUUAUGCUUCCAAAAUCUCUCUCUACAUCUGUUGGAUCAAAUCACUUUUCUUCUAACUGUAUUGUGAAUGUAGUGGUUAUGUGCAAUUAAGUUAUGUAAAACUAUUGUGGCUUGAAUUUGUUGCAUCUUGCCAAGUUUUGUCAAUGAUGAUUUCUGUCUGCAAAAUGUAUGCUCUGUGGAUUCAAGCCCCUGUUUCAGGGAGAACCUCUUGAUGAAGUAGAUAUAAUAUGACAUCAAUUGACAAAUCUGAGACAUCUUGCAGCAUUGUUUUGCUUAUUGCCUUGUUAUUUUAGUAGUUAAGUGCAUUGUUUUGCAACUAUCUUUAUAGCCUGAUACCUUAACCAUCAUUUUCUGAAGUUUUGCCAAUGAUGAUUCUGUCUGCAAAAUGUAUGCUCUGUGGAUUCAAGCCCCUGUUUCAGGGAGAACCCUGAGACAUCUUUUUGCACUGUUCUGCUUUUUGCAUGGUUAUUUUAGAAGUUAAAUCUAUUGAGGUCUGUUGACUUCUGAUUUUGCAACUAUCUUUGUUGCCUGAUACCUUAACCAUCAUUUUCUUAAGUUUUGCCAAUGAUGAUUUUGUCUGCAAAAUGUAUGCUCUGUGGAUUCAAGCCCCUGUUUCAGGGAGAACCUCUUGAUGAAUCAGAUAUAAUGUGACAUCAAUUGACAAAUCUGAGUCAAUAGUAUAGCAUUGUUCUGUUUAUUGCCGUGUUAUUUUUGUAGUUAGAAUGUAUUGAGGUUUGACUUUUGAUUUUGCAACUAUCUUUGUUGCCUUAACCAUCAUUUUCUUAAGUUUUGCCAAUGAUGAUUUUGUCUGCAAAAUGUAUGCUCUGUGGAUUCAAGCCCCUGUUUCAGGGAGAACCUCUUGAUGAAGCAGAUAUAAUGUGACAUCAAUUGACAAAUCUGAGACAAUAGUUUGUGCUAGUGAUUGAAUUGAGAUUUGAGUUUUUAUUUAGCUUCCUUUGUUGCAUGAUAUGUAUAAAUUAUUUGUUGUUUUCCUAUGAUGAUUCUGUCUGCAAAAUGGAUGCCCUGUGGACUCAAGCCCCUGUUUCAGGGAGAACCUCUUGAGAAAGCAGAUGUAAAAUGACAUCAAAUGACAAAUCUGAGGUAUUCCAUAUUGUACUUCCUAGUAUUAUGACAUUAAUGGACAAAUCUGAGGUAUUCAAUGACAUUGUGGCUAUGAUGAGAAAAGUCAUGCACCACUCUGAAGAGAUUCAUCUCUUUGUGCUGAUAAACAAACUUACAACCCAUUUUACAUCUGAGCCACCUCUUGGAUACCUACUUUUGUAUUUCUUCUUUAUUUGCUUUUCAUGCCAUAUAUGGUUGUUUUUAUAAACCAGUUUGGGGAAAUAAUGUACAGAAUAGUUGAUGAGGGUUGCCCAACUGCAAUCCUACCAUGAUGCGGACUGAAAUUUCAUUGAGGACAAAUACAUUUGCCGCUGAUGGUUCUUCUUUACAGUCCCGCAUAUUUUGAAUGCCAGUGCAGUUCUUGGUAACUUGUUUCGUGAACCUUGUUGCAUUGCAUAUUAAUUACUUUGUUUUCUGUUGAUAUUUAUGUCUCCUAAUAGGUACUUUGUAAAGGCUAUGAUGAGAAAAGUCAUGCACCACUCUGAAGAGAUUUCUCUUUGUGCUGAUAAACAAACUUACAAACCAUUUUACAUCUGAGCCGCUUCGCGUGUUUGCAUUUUCUGAUUUGUCUCUUGGUUUUUGAGAAACCAAGUAAUUUAAGGUAAUAACUGGAUUGGAGGGAUAAUAACAGAGCCAGAUGAUGAGGGUUGCCUAUGAGCGAUCCUACCAUGAUGCGGACUGAAUUUACAUUGAGGUCAAAUACAUUUGCCGCUGAUGGUUCUUCUUUCCAGUUUCCAAUACCCCCAGUCUUGAAUGGAGUUUGUCCUUGGUUUUCCAAUGAUGAUAAUGGCUAUGAUGAGAAAAGUCAUGCACCACUCUGAAGAGAUUUAUCUCUUUGUGCUGAUAAACAAACUUACAACCCAUUUUAAUUCUGAGCCAUCUCAUGACUUUCGUAUUUUCUUAUUGGUUUUGAGAAACCGUUUUCAGCUUUUGCCUUUGUGAGAAUACUGUAGUCUUGGAUAUUAACUGGAUUUGGAGGAAUAAUGUAUAGAACCAGAUGAUGAGGGUUGCCUGUGAGCGAUCCUACCAUGAUGCGGACUGAAUUACAUUGAGGUCAAAACAUUUGCCGCUGAUGGUUCUUCUUCCCAAUCCUCCAUAUCUUUCAAUGGUUUUUCCUCCCUGUUAUGAAUGUACUGGGAAUUUGGUUCAAAACGGUUUUGCCAAUUUUGUUUCUGUCUGCAAAAUGGACGCUCGAGCCCCUGUUUUCAGGGAGAACCUCUCGAGAAAAUGACAUCAAACGACAAACCUGAGGCAUUGUAAAACCAAAAAACUUUUACUGGAGCUUGUAUUUCCUAAUUGUGUUUCAUCUCUUCUUUUUUUGACAAUUGUACACGCCAAUCAUAUAUCAGCUUUGCUUAGAUGUGGUUUCUCAAAUGUAUUUUCUUUCUCCUGAUUGCAGAAAGCCAUUUCAAGCGCAAGGAGCUGCUGAACCUACUGGAUGAUAUGAAGCAGAUGGUGCUCUACUUCUGUAUCAUGAUUGUAGCCUUGUACCAAUGAUACAGAGGGAACAUUGUACUGUGAUCUGUAGGCUUGCCUGGUCAUAUUGGCUAGAGUCCUUGUAAUUCUUGUGAGAUUAAUGACAUGCACAUAUUUUAACUACCUCCCAUUGUUGUUGUGCCUGAAAUUUUGGGAGCAUCAUGCCUGAAGUGUGGAAGGUUAAACUAGACGCGCACUCAAUAAAAUUUGUUUUGAUGCCCUCUUCUAUGAUUAAAAUGAGCAUUGUGAUGUAAGAUCACAUUUGUUGCACAUACAUGCAAUGGUCAUCUUAGUUCUUUACCUCAAA
rnacentral:lncRNA from 1 species